AGUGGUCGUCGCCUUUUAUUGGGCCUAAAACGUCCGUAGCCUGUUUGGUAAAUCUGUGGGUAAAUCAACCAGCUUAACUGGUUGAAUUCUGCAGAGACUGCCAGACUAGGGACCGGGAGAGGUGUGGGGUACUCUAGGGGUAGGGGUAAAAUCCUGUCAUCCUUAGAGGACCACCAGUUGCGAAGGCGCCACACUAGAACGGAUCCGACGGUCAGGGACGAAGCCUAGGGGCACGAACCGGAUUAGAUACCCGGGUAGUCCUAGGUGUAAACGCUGUGAACUUGGUGUCGGGAGUCCGCAAUGGGCCCCCGGUGCCGGAGUGAAGAUGUUAAGUUCACUGCCUGGGAGUGGUCGUCGGCCUUUUAUUGGGCCUAAAACGUCCGUAGCCUGUUUGGUAAAUCUGUGGGUAAAUCAACCAGCUUAACUGGUUGAAUUCUGCAGAGACUGCCAGACUAGGGACCGGGAGAGGUGUGGGGUACUCUAGGGGUAGGGGUAAAAUCCUGUCAUCCUUAGAGGACCACCAGUUGCGAAGGCCGCCACACUAGAACGGAUCCGACGGUCAGGGACGAAGCCUAGGGGCACGAACCGGAUUAGAUACCCGGGUAGUCCUAGGUGUAAACGCUGUGAACUUGGUGUCGGGAGUCCGCAAUGGGCCCCCGGUGCCGGAGUGAAGAUGUUAAGUUCACUGCCUGGG
rnacentral:rRNA from 1 species